AUACGGAGGAUCCGAGCGUUAUCCGGAUUUAUUGGGUUUAAAGGGUGCGCAGGCGGGAGAUUAAGUCGGCGGUGAAAUUUUGCAGCUCAACUGUAAAAGUGCCUUCGAAACUGGUUUCCUUGAGUGUAGAUGAAGUAGGCGGAAUUUGUUGUGUAGCGGUGAAAUGCAUAGAUAUCACGAGGAACUCCGAUUGCGCAGGCAGCUUACUAAACUACUACUGACGCUCAGGCACGAAGGCGUGGGGAUCAAACAGGAUUAGAUACCCUGGUAGUCCACGCAGUAAACGAUGAUUACUAGCUGUUUGCGAUACAAUGUAAGCGGCUGAGCGAAAGCGUUAAGUAAUCCACCUGGGGAGUACGUUCGCAAGAAUGAAACUCAAAUGAAUUGACGGGG
rnacentral:rRNA from 1 species